rnacentral:lncRNA from 1 species
CUGAGUAUGAAGGUUGCAUGUUUUGCCUAGGUUUUCAAUUAAAUUGGCCAUGAUUACCUUUUCUAAAAUUGAUCCUAGUUAAUAAUCUUAUUGUAUGAGGUUAAAUAACUAACUAGGGUCAGAUUUGACCAAACAAAUGAGAACCAAGGUUAAAAAUCCUUAGGUCAGAGUUGAUAAUCUUAUUGUAUGAGGUUAAAUAACUAACUAGGGUCAGAUUUGAUUAAACAAAUGAGAUCCAAGGAUAAAAAUCCUUAGGUCAGUAAUUAGGAAAAGAGAUAGGGGUAUUAAGGGUAUUUGAAUAUAGGGAAUCUUGUAACAAACUCCUAGAACAUUCUAGUGAGGGGAUUAAGUAUAAUUUCUGCCUCAAACACAAGUCAGAAAAUCAAGGACUAUUUAGGCAAAACUGAAAAUUGGAUAAGGGACUAAAAGGAAAACAAAUGAAUUGAUGUUUCCGUGAGGCUUCAAUUAUAAAAGAAAACAAUCUAAUCAUUUCAAG